GAUAAGAACGUAGCGAAAUGCGAUAAGUAAUGUGAAUUGCAGAAUUCAGUGAAUCAUCGAAUCUUUGAACGCACAUUGCGCCCAUUAGUAUUCUAGUGGGCAUGCCUGUUCGAGCGUCAUUAAUUCCACUUAAGCCCUGCUUAGUGUUGGGAAUCUACUCUAGUGGUGCUACCCUGGAGCUACCCCUGAAAGGGGGCUGGCCCGGUAGCUACCCUGUAGUUCCUCAAAGAUAGUGCGCGGAGUUGCGUGGUCCUCUGAGCUUAGUAACUAUACACCUAGCUUUUGAGUGUCCCGCGGCGCCUGCCGUUUAAACCCCAUCUUUUAAUGGUUGACCUCGGAUCAGGUAGGAAUACCCGCUGAACUUAAGCAUAUCAAUAAGCGGAGGA
rnacentral:misc_RNA from 1 species